rnacentral:rRNA from 1 species
AUUGAACGCUGGCGGCAUGCUUUACACAUGCAAGUCGAACGGUAACAGGGUGCUUGCACCGCUGACGAGUGGCGAACGGGUGAGUAAUGCGUCGGAACGUGCCGAGUAGUGGGGGAUAACGCAGCGAAAGUUGUGCUAAUACCGCAUACGUAUUGAGGUAGAAAGUGGGGGACCUUCGGGCCUCACGCUAUUCGAGCGGCCGACGUCUGAUUAGCUAGUAGGUGAGGUAAAGGCUCACCUAGGCGACGAUCAGUAGCGGGUCUGAGAGGAUGAUCCGCCACACUGGGACUGAGACACGGCCCAGACUCCUACGGGAGGCAGCAGUGGGGAAUUUUGGACAAUGGGCGAGAGCCUGAUCCAGCCAUGCCGCGUGUCUGAAGAAGGCCUUCGGGUUGUAAAGGACUUUUGUCAGGGAGGAAAUCCCUAGUGCUAAUAACACUGGGGGAUGACAGUACCUGAAGAAUAAGCACCGGCUAACUACGUGCCAGCCGCCGCGGUAA